AGCACGGUACGCAACUGGCGAUAGGUGCGCUCAACACGACGGUCUCUGGCCUCGUCGGAGCGCAACCGACGUGGCCCCUGGAACCGGCGUUGACCGCCCUACCCUCCAGAUCACCACGGGGAAGCGUACCGCCUCCGGAUCAUUGGACCCGAAGGUGUUCAGCCGUUCGCCUGGGCAGCCCUU
rnacentral:ncRNA from 1 species